GUUCAUGGCUCAGGAUGAACGCUAGCGACAGGCCUAACACAUGCAAGUCGAGGGGCAGCGGGGAGGUAGCAAUACCUUUGCCGGCGACCGGCGCACGGGUGAGUAACACGUAUGCAAUCCACCUGUAACAGGGGGAUAACCCGGAGAAAUCCGGACUAAUACCCCAUAAUAUGGGCGUUCCGCAUGGAGCGUCCAUUAAAGAGAGCAAUUUUGGUUACAGACGAGCAUGCGCUCCAUUAGCCAG
rnacentral:rRNA from 1 species